rnacentral:rRNA from 1 species
UACGACUACAUAUCAGGCAUAUCAAUAAGCGGAGGAAAAGAAACUAACAAGGAUUCCCCUAGUAACGGCGAGUGAAGCGGGAAGAGCUCAAAUUUGAAAUCUUAAAGGGUUUUCCCUUUACGAAUUGUAGUUUAAAGAAGUGUUUUUCUGUUGGAGUUUCGGUAACAGUUCUUUGGAAUAGGACAUCAUAGAGGGUGAGAAUCCCGUAUUUGACCGUUACUUUCCAGCUGUGUGAUACACUUUCAAAGAGUCGGAUUGUUUGGGAAUGCAGUCCAAGAUGGGUGGUAAAUUUCAUCUAAAGCUAAAUAUUGGCGAGAGACCGAUAGCGAACAAGUACCGUGAGGGAAGGAUGAAAAGAACUUUGAAAAGAGAGUUAAAACAGUACGUGAAAUUGUCAAAAGGGAAGCGUUUGACACCAGUGUUGUUUAGUUGAAAAUCAAUUCAAUAGUUUUUGAUUCUAAGUAGUAUUGACUUCAUCAGCUUGCUGCUUUCUUCUCAGAAAUUAUUGAAUGCACUUUUCAGUUAACAAGUCAACAUCAAUUUCUUUUGUUGUAAAAGGGUAAGAGGAAGGUGGCUUGCGCUUCGGCUCAAGUGUUUAUAGCCUUUUAUCUCUGCAAUCGGAGAGAUUGAGGUCUGCAGCGUAGAUCCUUCGGGGUUAGAUACAUUGGUGCUAAGCUAUAGCCUUGUAUAGACAACUUGUUGACUAUGCUCAGUCAUGUAGCUUACUCGCUGAUGCUAUUUUACCUACGCUUAGGAUGUUUGAGUAGCGACAUACGCAC